AACGGUGUACGCAAGGUGCAUCAGUGGCGAACGGGUGAGUAACGCGUUGGUGACUGCCCCGAAGUGUGGGAUAACAGUUCGAAAGGACUGCUAAUACCGCAUGUGGAUAUGAGGAUUGGAAGCUCAUAUCGAAAGGAGACAUUCGCUUCGGGAGGGGCCUGCGUCCCAUCAGCUAGUUGGUAAGGGAACGGCUUACCAAGGCGAUGACGGGUAGGGGACCUGAGAGGGUGGGCCCCCACAAUGGAACUGAAACACGGUCCAUACACCUACGGGUGGCAGCAGUAGGGAAUAUUGGCAAAUGGGCGAAAGCCUGAUGCAGCAACGCCGCGUGUGCGAAGAAGGGCCUCGG
rnacentral:rRNA from 1 species